UGACUUUCUAAAUGUGCUUUAUUCUAGCUCAUCAAAAACAUUCUCACCGUCAUCAUGGUCAUCAUCAGUAACAUCAUCAUGGUCAUCCUCAUCAUCAAUAACAUCAUGGUCAUCCUCAUCAUCAUCAAUAACAUCAUCAUGGUCAUCCUCCUCAUUAUCAACAACAUCAUCAUGGUCAUCCUCGUCAUCAUCAAUAACAUCAUCAUGGUCAUCCUCAUCAUCAUCAAUAACAUCAUCACGGUCAUCAAUAACAUCAUCAUCAAUAACAUCAUCAUCAACAACUAUCAUUUCAUUGAUUUUGCUCAAAAGCUAAAGCUGUGAUCACAAAUAAAAAAUAAAACAUUUGGUCCUUAAAUAUAAUCUAGGCAACAUGGUAUCAAGGGUUAAAAGAGGAAUGCUCUUUUGCUACUCACAGAAAACAUCAAACAGCACUGGACAUGACACCAGGACAAGAGAGGGAAGAAAGGAGGGGGAGGGAGGGAUGGAUGGAGGGAGGGAAUGAUAGAGAGAGAUACAGUAGAGAGAGGGAAGAAAGGAGGGGAGGGAGGGAUGGAUGGAGGGAGGGAAUGAUAGAGAGAGAUACAGUAGAGAGAGGGAAGAAAGGAGGGGGGAGGGAGGGAUGGAUGGAGGGAGGGAAUGAUAGAGAGAGAUACAGUAGAGAGAGGGAAAAGUCAGAGAUGGAGAGAGGUAGAGAGCAUCUGUGAAUGUCUCUGGAACAGUAGUUAACUACAAAAGCUCUGUGAAAGAUGAAAGGAGGAUCAGACAGACAGAGAUGAAAGACAGGAUAAAAGCAGACAGGAGCCAGAGGAGGUGAGGAACGAGGGAAAAGGAGGGAAUAGAGAGAGAGGCAUGCAUUUACAGGAAGCUAGGCGGAACAAAUAAACCCACAUCCACAGUUUACGAGGGAGCAGUAUUAAGUGUUGCACCAAAAAACACAAUUCAGUUACAGAAGUUGUAUGAACAACGAAGCUAAACGAAGCUAAACACCACACAACUUGGACAACAAAACCACAAGUGGAUCAAUCGCUCCUAUAGUUACUGAUCAAUAUGAUGACUAACUUUACAGUGAUUAGUAAUCUCAUACUAUGAUUAAUCAUAUAAUGACAAAAUAUUACACUUUGGUGAAGGGCGAGAGGCAAAAGGGAGGGGAAGCUGGAAAUCAGGAAGUGCCUAUCUUAUUGGUCGUUUUAGAAUUGGCCAACUAGCCCUCCUCCAAUCAGCAGCAAGAUGCAACGAACCCCAUUGCUAUCUUUGUCAUCAUCGUCCUCGUUUUUCCCUCCCACUGUGUGCUGCCAUUAUCUUCCACUUCAUCUCUCUUGCUUGCUCCAACAAUCACUUACACAGAUAUGCAUCUAUAUGUUUGGACUUCAAAUAUAAACUGUGAUUCUACUCUAGCCUGCCCUAGUCACCAGAGCCAUAGAUAUACAGAGUCUGCCGAACUCGGUUUGAAUCUAGAAUUUUGGCAUGCCAUGUUGGCAACAACUGUUAAAACCUAGUCGCAAGUCAUGGACUGUUUGGAGGAUAGUUUGUUGAACUCAAAUCUGCAGUACCCUAUUCCUUACAGUGUGCUACUUUAAUUGGAGCAUGGGGUGUUUGGUGACACAAUCUACACAGUAUAUCUGGCCCGAAAAGUCCAUCCUCCAAUCAGAUAAUUUCCUCCAGGACCAUCACAUGUUGGCAGGCAGUUUUUCUCUCAGUCCCUAUUAGUCUUUCCCUGUCUGAGGCAGCUACAGGUCCUUCUUGCCCCCCUUGGGAGAGGCGGAGGGGGCAGAGGUGGCUGGGGGGCAAGAGGUUUGAGAGAGGGAGGUGGCAGGGCCUGGGACCAACUGAGUGGGUGGGAGGGUGGUAGUGGAGGUUUGGACAGGUGUUACGGCUGUGGUCAGCUUUGGAGCAUGACUGGUGUAAGGAGUACAGGUAGGUGUGGGGACAGGACCUAAAGGUUGGCUCUGUUUUGGGGUAUGGGUUGAUGCAGGUUUGGGGGUGGAGGAUUGUUUUGGGGUAUGGAUAGGUACAGGUGGGAUUGUGGGGGUAACAGAACAUUUAGAAGUGGGUUUUGGGGCUGGGGUUUGGACUAGGGGUUGGGCUGCUGGGGUCUGUUUUGGGGUGUGGGCUGAGCCUUUUGUUGGGGCUUGAAUUGCAGCAUCGGAGGCGAUGGGUACAGGAGUAAGAGAAUGCUUAGAUGUGGGUGUUGGGGUAUGGGUGGAGGUUUGAACAGGGGCAUGUUUGGCAGUAUGGGUAGGGGGAGGUUUGGGGGUUGGAGUUGAGGUUGGGGCCUGAGGUUUAGAACUGGUAGGUGUUGGGGUUAGAGUUUGGCUUUUCAUAAGGGCAGGUGAAGGACUAGAGAUAGGAGUGGGAGGUUUACUGGAAGAAGGGGUGGGAAUCAAGGUUGAGGUUGGAGCUAGGAUGGGAGUGGAGGCUGGGGUGGGGGCUGGGGUGGGAGUGGAGGCUGGGGUGGGGGCUGGGGUGGAGGCUGGGGUGGGAGUUAAGGCUGGGGUGGGGGCUGGGGUGGGGGCUGGGGUGGGAGUGGAGGCUGGGGUGGAGGCUGGGGUGGGAGUGGAGGCUGGGGUGGAGGCUGGGGUGGGAGUGGAGGCUGGGGUGGGGGCUGGGGUGGAGGCUGGGGUGGGAGUGAAGGCUGGGGUGGAGGCUGGGGUGGAGGCUGGGGUGGGGGCUGGGGUGGGGGCUGGGGUGGGAGUGGAGGCUGGGGUGGGGGUUGCAGUUAGGGUUUGGCUCUGAAUGGCAACAGGAGUAGAAAUAGGGGUAGGGGGACGAUUGGAGGGUUGAGAGAGGGUAGUGGUAGGGGUACGAGUCUGGAUAGGGGUAAAGGCUUUAGAGGGGGUAGGGGUGGGCCCAGAUAGAGGGUAAGGGGAGGGGGUGUAGGGGAGGACUUGAUUAGGGGCUCUGAAGAAGAGUGGGAGAGGAAGGUAGGGAAGAGGAGGGGGUGAGGGGGACGCGAGAGAGGACUUGCACCCAUGGGUUUGUGGAAGUGAGAGAGGAGCACUGACAGAGGAGGGAGGGGGAGUGGAGGAGGGAGAGGGGGAAGAAGAGCGAGAUGGGGGUGUAGGGGUGGGUUUGGGGCGAGGGGUUGAGGUGAGUGGAGUAGUUCCGGCAGAGGGAGGGAUGGAGCAGUGGGGAGGAGAGGAGGAGCGAGAUGGUGGUGUAGGGGUGAGUUUGGGGCGAGGGGUUAGUGGCAGGGCUGGGAUGAGGGAGAAAGGAGCGGGAGCAGGGGAGGGGGUGGCAAAGGAGAGGGGGGUUUGUUUGGGGGAGGAAGUGUAGGAGGCCAGGGGAGAAGCUGAUGUGGGUGUGGGUGUGGCUGCAGGUACAGCGACAGGAUGUGUGUGUGUGGCUGUGUGUGUGUGUGCAGGGCAGUGUGUAGAGACAGGAUCAGAGAGGGGCUGUAUAGAGCCCAUGUUAUGUGCUUGUAUCUGUGCAUUGAAGGGGGGCAUCUUUAACCGUUGUGCUGGGACUUGUACUGGUAGGGGAGUAGUCAACACCCCCACACUGCCACCCCUGGCUAGCUGCGUCCCAGCCAGGAACGAGGCUGGCAGCAGGUUACCUCCAGAGGCCUUCCGCUCGAGAGGGGGGUGAGGCUGCAUGCUUGCCCAGGAUCGAUGAGGCAGGGUGGGCUGCGAGGCGGAGAGGAGCCUGGCCUCCUGGGUGAGCCUCCCAAGUGCAGGCAGGCCCUGGUUGCUGCUGCCUCCGUGACGCAAUAGCGCCUCCUUGGCUCCAUGCUGGCCAGCCAUGGAACUGCAAUUGUCUGACAUGACACUGGUGGCUGCAGUUGGAUUCACGUGGUAGAACAGAUGGGGUGUGGUGGCCCCUCCUACCUUGGGGAUUCCUGGGGUUCCACCCAUCACUGAAGAGUGUUCCGGGUGGAGGCGGAGACUGUAGUGCAGGGUCUUUCCUAAUUGGACCGACGUGGAGACAGAGGAGGCCGGUGUGGGUGGGGUUUGAGCAACAGGGGGUGAUAUCACACCUCCCGGGGGGGCCAUGGGGAAGGGCGAGGGGGAGGGGAAGGCAGGAAACACCCCUCUAGGGGACAGCCCCCCCAUCCCUCCUACCCCCAUCAUCCCAAUGAGGGAACUCACAGAGGGGCGCAGGGGCUGCAGGACAGGGGGCCGUGGGGGGGAGAGGGGGAAGGAGACGGAGGAUGAUGGAGAGAUGGAGGGGAGGAAUAUAGCGCCUCCUAGCGCAUGUUGCUGCUGUAGCUGAUGUUGAAGCUGCUGUUGCUGCUGCUGCUGGUGCAUGAGGGCGAUAGCCACGUUAGUCGUAGCGGCCGCCGUCUGGAGCGGAGCGUGGAUCAGUGGAGCCCAGAUCAGUGGGUGGGGCCUAGGGGAGACCGUACCACUUCCUCCCGUGGCCCCUCCCCUUCCUGCAGCGGCAGCAGCAAUGGCCUCCUGCAUGGCUGGCAUGCUGUCGUGUUUAACAAUCUGCUGAACCAGCAUGCUGUCACAGGAGCCCAGCCCUCCCAUGCCUAGC
ensembl:lncRNA